GUGGAAUCAAUACCCCAGGAGGUGAUGUUCAACCAGUGAGGGAUGAGAUCCGCUUGACUUGAAAGGAGACACUCCUGAGACAGGACACUGAGUGUUUCAUAAAGGAAAGAGAAAUGAGGCUGGAUGCCAAUUAUCCUAGAAUUCAAUGGUUUCAAUUUCAAACAAGGUCUAUGAAAUGCUCACUUUGAGGCCUGGUGAUCGAUGGAAUGGUCUUGCCAAGCUGAGAAGCAGGCUGAACUGAAGUCAUGCAUUGGCAAUCAGGGUAGAGCCAAGGAGACUUCUUCAGGACAGGGAGAGCAACUGCAUCAAACCGUAAGUUAGAGGACCACGUGACCUUGGUCAAACUGAUCAACUUCCCUAAGCCUCAGUGACACUUUUACUAAAUGGAAAUAACAAUAAUAUCUACCUUGG
rnacentral:lncRNA from 1 species